rnacentral:rRNA from 1 species
AGCGCAGACGGUUGAUUAAGUCUGAUGUGAAAGCCCGGAGCUCAACUCCGGAAUGGCAUUGGAAACUGGUUAACUUGAGUGUUGUAGAGGUAAGUGGAACUCCAUGUGUAGCGGUGGAGUGCGUAGAUAUAUGGAAGAACACCAGUGGCGAAGGCGGCUUACUGGACAACAACUGACGUUGAGGCUCGAAAGUGUGGUAGCAAACA